rnacentral:tRNA from 1 species
AACUUAGGUUGACCAAAGGCCUUCAAA